rnacentral:misc_RNA from 1 species
AGUUUCAAAAGAAGAAUACAAUGAAUUCUACAAAAAGACAUUCAAUGAGUUCUUGGACCCGAUUGGGUACACCCAUUUCACCACUGAGGGUGAGGUCGAGUUUAGAAGUGUUCUCUACAUUCCCGGAAUGGCACCUCUUAACAACGAGGAUGUUGUAAAUCCCAAGUCAAAGAAUAUACGCUUAUAUGUAAAGCGUGUAUUCAUAUCAGAUGAUUUUGACGGUGAACUGUUUCCCAGGUAUUUGAGCUUUGUUAAGGGUGUAGUGGAUUCCAAUGAUCUUCCUUUGAACGUCUCUCGUGAGAUCCUCCAAGAAAGCCGAAUAGUCAGAAUUAUGCGCAAGAGGCUUGUUAGGAAAACAUUUGAUAUGAUUCAAGAGAUAUCUGAAAGCGAAGACAAAGAGGAUUACAAGAAGUUCUGGGAGAAUUUUGGCAAGCUCCUCAAGUUGGGUUGUAUUGAAGACUCCGGAAACCACAAACGCCUCACUCCUCUGCUGCGUUUCUACUCCUCCAAAAGUGAGGAGGAUUUGAUAAGUCUAGAUCAGUAUGUAGAGAACAUGCCCGAGACUCAGAAGGCUAUCUAUUACUUGGCGACUGACAGUCUAAAAAGUGCUAAAACUGCACCAUUCUUGGAGAAGCUACUCCAAAAAGAUAUUGAAGUUCUCUACCUAGU